CCAUAUGGCUCCACAAUUUUCCUUGAUGGUGUGAACUCUCUUCGGCUCUUGCACUACACGCCUCAAUGCUAAAUACACGCGACCAUCCGUUCGCAAAGACCCAUUUUGGUUGUUCUUGGUGGGCAAACACACUACACCACCAGAACGACUUCCAGUCGAAAAAAAAGAGAGAAUAUUGCCGCACGCCAAAAAGAGUGUGGAGGUGAAUGUGAGGAAAAACCAGAAGAUUCCGAUAAAAUGUGGUGUAACAUUGAUUCCGCAUUUGAACAAAUCAGUGUGCAAUACACAACACUCGCCUCUUAGACCGGUAGUUGCUAACAAUUAGGUACGUACAGAAGUUUGCCAUCACUGUGCCUCCGUUGUUGGUGGAAUUGUCUUCACCAAUCCACACAACUUGGCUAUUGUCGCAACCAACCCACACCGCACAAGAGGUCACCCCCACAGGAAUUCGCAAAGACAGACACCGAGACACUACACAGUAUAUGCCAAUAUUGGAGCACAUACAAAUUGCGUGGUCAGAAGGAGUUUAGUCAUUUCGCAUGAAGUCGUGACAAAUGCAAAUUGAAUAGGAAGCAGAUCAGCAAUCAACAUUUACUUAAGUUCUUACUCACUAAACAAAAAAAAAACAAAUCUAUUUUCCAACGCUUACAGAAUUCUCGGUGCUCCACACCUUAUUCCCCGCUUUACCUCAUUGUUCUGGCGUGAAGAAAAUAGAGAUUCCUACACAUAAGACUUCUGUUUUGUGAGACUUCCGAUCCGCACUCUGCAUAAAAUUGAUUCAAAGGAGAUUAAUGUUGAAAUUAAUCGCAUUUAAUAGCGUCUAACAUGUUUUAUGCUUACUUAUGAAGCAUUUUUAGAUCUUCUUCGGUGGCGGAACAAUUUGAUUUCAGUCCCAGACAGAGGUCUGAAAUUGCUUAAUUUCUUUCUGGAGAGCCUUGGAUGAUCCUAUUAUCCGAAUUUACCACUGAAAAUUAAUUAAUUUACCAACUUACUACCUUUCCUGAAAAGCUCUUUAUAGUUUUUGUUUAUUUUUUUUUUUCAAAUGUAAAGUUUUAAGUUUAUUUGAGAUUGUUUUUUAAAAGUCAGUCCUAAAAUUUUAAAACUCUUUA